GUGAGGAAUCUUCCACAAUGGGCGAAAGCCUGAUGGAGCAACGCCGCGUGAAGGAUGAAGGUCUUCGGAUUGUAAACUUCUUUUAUGAGUGAAGAAUAUGACGGUAACUCAUGAAUAAGCACCGGCUAACUACGUGCCAGCAGCCGCGGUCAUACGUAGGGUGCAAGCAUUAUCCGGAGUGACUGGGCGUAAAGAGUUGCGUAGGCGGUUAUGUAAGCGAAUAGUGAAACCUGGUGGCCCAACCACACAGACUAUUAUUCGAACUGCAUAACUCGAGAAUAGUAUAGGUAACUGGAAUUUCUUGUGUAGGAGUGAAAUCCGUAGAUAUAAGAAGGAACACCAAUGGCGUAGGCAGGUUACUGGGCCAUUUCUGACGCGAAGGCACGAAAGCGUGGGUAGCUAACCGGAUUAGAAACCCCUGUAGUCC
rnacentral:rRNA from 1 species